rnacentral:rRNA from 1 species
UUGCUACUUUGCCGGCGAGCGGCGGACGGGUGAGUAAUGUCUGGGAAACUGCCUGAUGGAGGGGGAUAACUACUGGAAACGGUAGCUAAUACCGCAUGACCUCGCAAGAGCAAAGUGGGGGACCUUCGGGCCUCACGCCAUCGGAUGUGCCCAGAUGGGAUUAGCUAGUAGGUGAGGUAAUGGCUCACCUAGGCGACGAUCCCUAGCUGGUCUGAGAGGAUGACCAGCCACACUGGAACUGAGACACGGUCCAGACUCCUACGGGAGGCAGCAGUGGGGAAUAUUGCACAAUGGGCGCAAGCCUGAUGCAGCCAUGCCGCGUGUGUGAAGAAGGCCUUCGGGUUGUAAAGCACUUUCA